UUACCGAGUUAGGGUCUCACCGGCCCGAUCUCCCAACCCUUUGUCUACUUGACCAUCGUUGCUUCGGCGAGCCCGUCCUCACGGACCGCCGGGGGGUCUUUGUACCCCUUGGCCCGCGCUCGUCGAUAGCCCCCAAAUUUAAAAAAUCUUAACUAAACGUGUCUUGAAUCUAAGUAUUAUUGUUAAAUAAAAACAAAACUUUCAACAACGGAUCUCUUGGUUCUGGCAUCGAUGAAGAACGCAGCGAAAUGCGAUAAGUAAUGCGAAUUGCAGAAUUCCAGUGAGUCAUCGAAUCUUUGAACGCACAUUGCGCCCUUUGGUAUUCCGAAGGGCAUGCCUGUUCGAGCGUCAUUAUCACCCCUCAAGCCCUCGGCUUGGUGUUGGACGGUUUGGUGGAGACCCCCCUCGGGUGGGCUUCUACCCCUCCCAAAGACAAUGACGGCGGCCUCGUUGGACCCCCGGUACACUGAGUUCUUCACGGGACACGUAUCGGACACAUGGGUUUACGGGACACGGUCUGCCUCCCCUCAGGGAGAAUCUUUUUUUAUCAAGGUUGACCUCGGAUCAGGUAGGGAUACCCGCUGAACUUAAGCAUAUCAAUAAGCGGAGGAAAAGAACCAACAGGGAUUGCCUCAGUAACGGCGAGUGAAGCGGCAACAGCUCAAAUUUGAAAUCUGGCCUCUUUGGGGUCCGAGUUGUAAUUUGUAGAGGAUGUUUCGGGUACCGCCUCGGUUUAA
rnacentral:rRNA from 1 species